UAACGCGUUAAGUGUUCCGCCUGGGGAGUACGCACGCAAGUGUGAAACUCAAAGGAAUUGACGGGGGCCCGCACAAGCGGUGGAGUAUGUGGUUUAAUUCGAUGCAACGCGAAGAACCUUACCAGGGUUUGACAUCCUGCGAAUCCCUUGGAAACUUGGGAGUGCCUUCGGGAGCGCAGAGACAGGUGGUGCAUGGCUGUCGUCAGCUCGUGUCGUGAGAUGUUGGGUUAAGUCCCGCAACGAGCGCAACCCACGUCUUUAGUUGCCAGCAUUGAGUUGGGCACUCUAGAGAGACCGCCGGUGAUAAACCGGAGGAAGGUGUGGAUGACGUCAAGUCAUCAUGCCCCUUAUGCCCUGGGCUACACACGUACUACAAUGCUACGGACAAAGGGCAGCCAACCAGCGAUGGUGCGCAAAUCCCAUAAACCGUGGCUCAGUUCAGAUUGCAGGCUGCAACUCGCCUGCAUGAAGGAGGAAUCGCUAGUAAUCGCAGGUCAGCAUACUGCGGUGAAUCCGUUCCCGGGCCUUGUACACACCGCCCGUCACACCAUGGGAGUUGGUCACGCCCGAAGUCGUUACCCUAACCGAAAGGAGGGGGACGCCGAAGGUAGGGCUGAUGACUGGGGUGAAGUCGUAACAAGGUAACC
rnacentral:rRNA from 1 species